rnacentral:lncRNA from 1 species
UGAUAGUGAUAUCAUCUUAGUUCUUUCCUUCUAUUGUGGGAGGAAACUAAUGUCUAAUAUAAUAUGUGUUACAAAAGACUCAAUUUAUCCAAUAAAACUUCAAGACAAUUUCAAAGGACCUCUGAAAGACUGAUUUCUGAACCACUUCCAAGACAUAUUACUUAAGACUACAAAUGAGGAUUUCUGGUUUGCUUUCAAAUGGUUCUGAUGUUCCUCAUUUUGUUAUGUUUUUCAGUUGGUGCUGGUAUCACUGUACCUCUCAAAUAGCUUCCCCAUUUUGACUAAGAAUGAAGAGGUUCUUGGAUAAAGAACUUGUAAAAAUCAGUUUUACACACAGCCCAAAAGAUGGACAUUUGGCAAAUCAUAAUGGACUGCUCCUUUCCCAGGUGAUUCAAAUUAUUGAAGUGAUAGCAAGUACAAAAGCAUGCCUGGAGGUAAGGACUCUUUAUAGUAUUAAAAAAUAAAUUUAAUUUAGAAAAUAUGUCUUCACUUGAAAUACAACUGGACAAUGGGUUAGGCAAAAAGAAUGUUACUUUAAAAUCAAGACAUUUGUUCUACACUGCUUCAUUCUUCUAGGAAAGUGACAGUUUAUCCAACCUGUUUAGUCACAUUAGUUCAUAGCAGAUGAGAUCAAAAUGAAGGAUCUAUUUAAAAUCGUAUUGUGAAAUACCAACUAAAAUACAACAGAUGUGAACUCUUUACACAUAUUCCGUUCUGGAAUCAACUCUGGGUUUUUUGUUUGCUUGUUUUUCCUUUUAAAGCUAAUUCACAGCUAGCAAAGCAAAGAUGGGUUGCCCUUAAUUUUGAUCCCCAGAAGCAGCUUUGGGUUCCCAUUUUGGCAGAUUGCAAUUUAUAUAUAUCUCAUAGCAAACCCUGUAGGGUGUUGUCAGCAAUUAACUCUGACAUCAAGGAGUUUAACAGUCAUUCAACGUUGAUCCAAUGAUUGAGCACUGGUAGGCACAAAGCAGCAUGAAGCCCAGCAGUGAAAUUUAAGAUGAGAAAGAUAACACAGUGUCUGUCCCCAGAGUGCUGACUAUCUAUUCACAAGAGUAAUGUCCCUAAUAGCUCUUUUGCAGAUUUCUGUUAAUUUUUGUUUCGAUCAGAUGUCCAUGGACUUUGAUAAAGCCUAGGACAGAAUUGUGAAAUAGUGUAAAAAGUCACAGAGAAAUCACUCCAAAGGAGCAUAGGUAAUCUGCUAAUGACAAAUUAUUUCCGCAUAGUACCCACUCUUAGUAAUGUUCAAGUAUUUUUAACACCAAAAGUCUCAACUGUGAAUAAUUUUUAUUUCUUAUUUUUCUUACAUGAAUGUAUGAUUUGUUUUUUAUAGAAAAUUUAGGAAACAUUUAAAAUACAAAAAAGAAAAUCCAUAUUUCUACUACCUAAGCUCAAAUCACUUUAUUCGUAUUUUUGUGUGUAUCAUGGUUACUUUUUCUCCAUUUAUAUACAUAUAAAAUCCCAUUUAAGCAAUGGAAUUUUACUAUUUUAUAAUCUUUUAAAACAAACCUCAUGACAUAUUUAUAAUAUCUUUUUAGUACAUAGUCUUCCUCAACAUCAAUUUCAGUGCUUUCACAAUAUUCUAGUGCAUGGAUAUGCCAUACUUUAUUUCUAUCAUAUUUUAGAACUUCCUAUUAGUGCACAUUUACCUUUCAAUUUUUUG